UACGGAGGGUGCGAGCGUUAUCCGGAAUUAUUGGGCGUAAAGGGCUCGCAGGCGGUUUGCCACGUCUGCUGUGAAAGCCCGGGGCUUAACUCCGGGUGUGCAGUGGGUACGGGUAGACUAGAGUGCAGUAGGGGAGACUGGAAUUCCUGGUGUAGCGGUGAAAUGCGCAGAUAUCAGGAAGAACACCGAUGGCGAAGGCAGGUCUCUGGGCUGUUACUGACGCUGAGGAGCGAAAGCAUGGGGAGCGAACAGG
rnacentral:misc_RNA from 1 species